GAUGAACGCUGGCGGCGUGCUUAACACAUGCAAGUCGAACGAAGCACUUUUACAGAUUUCUUCGGAAUGAAGUUUUAGUGACUGAGUGGCGGACGGGUGAGUAACGCGUGGGUAACCUGCCUCACACAGGGGGAUAACAGUUGGAAACGGCUGCUAAUACCGCAUAAGCGCACAGUACCGCAUGGUACAGUGUGAAAAAACUCCGGUGGUGUGAGAUGGACCCGCGUCUGAUUAGCUAGUUGGCAGGGCAACGGCCUACCAAGGCGACGAUCAGUAGCCGACCUGAGAGGGUGACCGGCCACAUUGGGACUGAGACACGGCCCAAACUCGUGUCUACAG
rnacentral:rRNA from 1 species